AUAGUUUUGCCAGUGGCAGUAUCGUAGCCAAUGAGGUUUAUCCGAGGCGCGAUUAUUGCUAAUUGAAAAAUACAUUUCACACAGAAGUGGAACCUGGCAAUAAAUUAUGAAAAAAUAUUUUUGAAAAAAAAUAAA